CAGUCGCCACGGUAAUACGUAGGGUGCAAGCGUUAAUCGGAAUUACUGGGCGUAAAGCGUGCGCAGGCGGUUAUAUAAGACAGAUGUGAAAUCCCCGGGCUCAACCUGGGAACUGCAUUUGUGACUGUAUAGCUAGAGUACGGCAGAGGGGGAUGGAAUUCCGCGUGUAGCAGUGAAAUGCGUAGAUAUGCGGAGGAACACCGAUGGCGAAGGCAAUCCCCUGGGCCUGUACUGACGCUCAUGCACGAAAGCGUGGGGAGCAAACAGGAUUAGAUACCCGAGUAGUCCCUGUCUCUUAUAA
rnacentral:rRNA from 1 species